rnacentral:rRNA from 1 species
GAUGAACGCUAGCGGCAGGCUUAAUACAUGCAAGUCGAGGGGCAGCCCAGUGUAGCAAUACACGGGCGCCGACCGGCAAACGAGUCCGGAACACGCACCCCACCUAUCCAUAAUUGCUCAAUAGCCCUCCGACUGGUGCAGUAAUACCUCGUCUCUCCACGAAGGUGCAUCUCUUUAUUAAUUCAGCCCCGGCGUUUUCGCAUGGGCGUGCGGCUGGUUGGGUGGUUGGUGGGGUACCGGCCCACCAACGCUGCGAUCAGUAACUGGUGUGAGCGCGCGAGCAGGCACACGGGAACUGAGACACGGGCCCGACUCCUACGGGAGGCAGCAGUAAGGAAUAUUGGUCGAUGGACGCAAGUCUGAACCAGCAAUGCCGCGUGAAGGAUGAAGGUCCUCUGGAUUGUAAACUUCUUUUGAAUGGGACGAAACCUCUUUUUCUUGAGAAACUGACGGUACCAGUAGAAUAAGCACCGGCUAACUCCGUG